CCCUUAGAUGUUCUGGGCCGCACGCGCGCUACACUGACGAAGUCAGCGAGCAUGUCCUACGCCGACAGGUGCGGGGAAUCUUGUCAAACUUCGUCGUGAUGGGGAUUGAUUAUUGAAAUUCUUGAUCAUCAACGAGGAAUACCUAGUAAGCGCAAGUCAGCAGCUUGCGUUGAUUACGUCCCUGCCCUUUGUACACACCGCCCGUCGCUACUACCGAUUGAAUGGUUUAGUGAGAUCUUCGGAUUGGCGCCACUGCGGCUCAGCAAUGGGCUCGGUGGAUGCCGAAAAGUUGAUCAAACUUGAUCAUUUAGAGGAAGUAAAAGUCGUAACA
rnacentral:rRNA from 1 species